rnacentral:lncRNA from 11 species
CACUGAUCUAGAGCAACAGAACUCCAUGUCCAUUCACAUGGUCUUCCCAGUCCAUACUGUUUCCUGUCAACCUGCUCCACUGAAGCAUGAUUGAGAAGACACAUUGAAAAGACUGCACUGUCCUCCUGGUAAACGGGGUAAACGAGGAAGAAGAGGAGAGAUUGGACCCCCUGUAAGUACAUCUCAUAUCCUAUUGGAUCUUCUGUAUUAUCAAGAAUGGGGCAGAAAGUCUUAAAGAGCUGGGUCAACCAGGGCGAAAUGGCUACCCGGUAACUGUCCUGCCAUAUAUUUAUGGAAUGCAUGCUCCACUUUCAAACCAUUAUUUUCUCCCCUGUCUUUGUCUGUGGCUGUAUACUUUUCAGUGAGUUAUAGAAAUUAUCCUUCCUUGUUGUCUCCAGUUGAAUUCAGAAUGACACUUUCUCUGUAUUUUACUUAGCAGAUCUUUACCCAGAAUCUAGCAAGUAAUGCUGAUUCCAUAAUAUAUGCUUGGAAGAUGAUAUAAUCUUUAUUUGAAUUUCUCUUUAUUGAACUUGCAUAUUCUUGAAUAGAGGUGCCAUUUUUCCAUCAUGAUAUAAAACAUUACUUAAAGUACAUUCAUCUCAUUUAUCAGUUUACUUUAUGCAGAUGUCAUUUGGCUGUCUCAUUGAAUCUCCCUUGGUAGGAUUUUACUGAGAAAUUAUCCAGCUUAAUUAUAUGUGCAAUCAGCCAUGUUAACCCCAGUGCUACUUGGAACUAGCAGUUCUUUGUAAAACCUACUAAAAUUGCACAUUUUAUAAUAAUUUACCUCUGUGCUAUUUACACGUGCAUGUUUAAUUUUUUUUCUAAUAAUUUUAAGUAUAUGGAAUAAUGCAUCUCUCAAGGGUAAGAAUAAAGAAUACAACAUAUCCUUUCAUGUGGGAUAUGCUGUAUUGUGUCAUCCCUGUGUGAAAUUUUCAGUGUAAAUGCAUUACUAAAUACGUGUUAAAAUAUAAUAAAAGCA